rnacentral:misc_RNA from 1 species
UCCCAGUUAAAAAGACUAGAGUUAAGGGACGGAGCAGAAGGACUAAUAGACAAGGAACGCAGAGAUUUUGCAGCAGCAAGAGAACUAAUUCUUAGAUUGCUGCUAUUCACUCCUAACCCAGGGACACAGCAAGACUUAUUACCACAAGAUAAUAUGGGGACACUAGCAGUCCCUACAGACUGACAAGCAACACCAUCUUCCUGUAAUACUAGGUUUCCACGCUUGACUGGCCUUCUACCAUCAUCUGC